rnacentral:rRNA from 1 species
GAAGUAGGUAGCUUAACCGUAAGGAGGGCGCUUACCACGGUAGGAUUCGUGACUGGGGUGAAGUCGUAACAAGGUAGCCGUAUCGGAAGGUGCGGCUGGAUCACCUCCUUUCUAGA